rnacentral:lncRNA from 1 species
GCCCGGGGGCGCCCCCAGCGCGCGGACGGCGGGACCCUGCGGCCUCCUCCAGGUCUGGACGCAGGGAGGGGUGAGACUGUUCUGGCCAAAGAGACUGGAGAUCCAGUAUCAGCAAGCUACUUUCUUGCAAUGUCCCAUUCUCGGUAAUGUUUGGUAGGUCUAAAACAUCCUCACGAAAUGUUCCCCAAAUGUUCUGCUCCAGCUGAGCAACUAAUAACAAUGGGAAGAUGCAGAAAAAAAAUGCAUGGAGCAUAAUGUUAGUUUUGGGACUCGUCAGUGGCAACGUUUUAGAGAUGCCAUGAAGAAUUCCUGGUAAUAAUCCUUCUUCCUACAGCAUUUAGCAAUGAAUACUAUGGGAUUAUGGCUAAAAGAUGGUCAAGACUGCCUCAGCCAUUAGGAUCAGAAUUCUAAGUUCCAAAGAAGAGCAAACUCAAGAGGAUUUCCUCAGGCCUCUGACUAUAGAUGCUGCCUGGGGAGAACAGGUGCUACACUCAAAACAUUCUCAUUUUAUUUAUAUCCUCCCUGAACUAGUACCCAACUCCAUAACCCCAGACUCAAAUAACAGAAAUAAAAGCCAUCUCACUGAUUAUAAGCUCUCUAGUUAUUACAAAAAUAAAUAAGCAUCAAUCAACCAACAGGCAUCAGAAUGAGAAAAUCACUGAUUUGAGACAUUCAGGCUGCAGGAAAAGAACACUUUUUGUUAAUAUGUAACUAUAUCUUCAGUAGUACAGAAAAAUGAGAAGAACGAGAGUUCUUACCUGGAUUUGCGGCUCACUUAAAGUAGAGCACCUGAGAUGCUGGGAAAUCAUAAAGAUAAAUAACCAAUCUAACAAAUUCCUGCCAUGAGACCAAAGUGAUCCUUGACUACUCUAUUAGUAAGCGACUCUGAGCCAAGAGUACGAACCUGUAAGUGGAGUGGUGGUUGGCCCAUUAGAAAUCUCUGAAAGAUCUAAACAUGACAGUUACCUUCCUACUGGACUCAUACUUCUCAAUUCCCUCUCCUAAAAGAAUACUUUUGGGCUGGCCCCAGUGGCUCACACCUGUAAUCUCGGCACUUUGGGAAGCCAAGGUGGGAGGAUUGCUUGAGGACAAGAGUUUGAGACCAGCUCGGUGGAAACAUAGCACCAUCCAUGUCUCUACCAAAAAAAGAAAAAAAAAAGUGAAAAACAUUGCUGGCGUGGUGGCACUUGAGCCUGUAGUUUCAGCUGCUCAGGAAGCUUUGAGGCAGGAGGAUUACUUGAGCCCAGGAGUUCGAGACUGCAGUGAGCUAUGAUUGUACUACUGCACUCCAGCCUGGGUGACAGAGCAAGACCCUGUCUUAAAAAAAAAAAAAAAAAAAAAAUUUCUACUGGAUCUUCCUUCCUUUUGAGAGAUAGCAAGAUUACAUCAGUUUUCCAGUUGUACUCCUUGAGAGCUGCCCCUGAGUACUGAGUGUAAAAGAUGAGGAAUGAGUCUCUUACAAAUUGAUGUACUUAGGGUCAAAAGGAUUAUCCUAGUCAUUUUUAGUCAUUUUUCAAAGAAUUACAAAAUGAGAUGUUCAGUGACCUUUGGUACUCUGACAGUAAAUAAUGACAUUGGUCAGUGAGGUAUAGAGAAUGAAAGGAUGUGAAGAUACCCUGCUCUGUUUGUUCUCUUCAUUCUUAGCAGUCAAGUCAGAGCGCAGCCCCCACUGCCAGUGCAGCCACACUCUGCUACAAAAAGCUCAACUAGUACGCCAAGGGGCCAGGAAUUACUUUAAUUUUUUUUUUUUAAAAAAAG